GUGGUUCAGUGGUAGAAUGCUCGCCUGCCACGCGGGCAGCCCGGGUUCGAUUCCAAUUUACA
rnacentral:tRNA from 1 species